UGAAACUGAAGAUGCAGAAAAGAGCAAGCAAGAAGUCAGCUUCAAGGUUCUGAACCUCAUGGUCUUCAGUGCUCAUGAAAUGGUACUUUGAGAAUCAUGUGCUUGGUCCUUUGCUACCCUUUGAGCACAGCCCAGACCUUUGAGAAUACCAAGAUGAAGACAAAGAAUAAUUCCAAUGAGUAUUUCAGAGAUUUUGCUGUCAGAUGCUUUUCUGCUUUCACACAGGCUCAAUCCUGACAUGACUGUUGACUUCAGUGAAGGUAAGAUGAUUUACUUGUUUUG
rnacentral:lncRNA from 1 species